rnacentral:snRNA from 1 species
AUCGCUUCUCAGCCUUUUGGCUAAGAUCAAGUGUAGUAUCUGUUCUUAUCAGUUUAAAAUCUGAUAUGUCCUCUAUCCGAGGACAAUAUAUUUUACAGCAUGCUAACACAU